AUAUUUGAGAGUUUGAUCCUGGCUCAGGAUGAACGCUGGCGGCGUGCCUAACACAUGCAAGUCGAGCGAUCUCUUCGGAGAGAGCGGCGGACGGGUGAGUAACGCGUGGGUAACCUGCCCUGUACACACGGAUAACAUACCGAAAGGUAUACUAAUACGGGAUAAUAUAUGAAAGUCGCAUGGCUUUUGUAUCAAAGCUCCGGCGGUACAGGAUGGACCCGCGUCUGAUUAGCUAGUUGGUAAGGUAAUGG
rnacentral:ncRNA from 1 species